CCUACGGGUGGCUGCAGUGGGGAAUAUUGCACAAUGGGCGCAAGCCUGAUGCAGCCAUGCCGCGUGUGUGAAGAAGGCCUUCGGGUUGUAAAGCACUUUCAGCGGGGAGGAAGGCGGUGAGGUUAAUAACCUCAUCGAUUGACGUUACCCGCAGAAGAAGCACCGGCUAACUCCGUGCCAGCAGCCGCGGUAAUACGGAGGGUGCAAGCGUUAAUCGGAAUUACUGGGCGUAAAGCGCACGCAGGCGGUCUGUCAAGUCGGAUGUGAAAUCCCCGGGCUCAACCUGGGAACUGCAUUCGAAACUGGCAGGCUAGAGUCCUGUAGAGGGGGGUAGAAUUCCAGGUGUAGCGGUGAAAUGCGUAGAGAUCGGGAGGAAUACCGGUGGCGAAGGCGGCCCCCUGGACAAAGACUGACGCUCAGGUGCGAAAGCGUGGGGAGCAAACAGGAUUAGAUACCCUAGUAGUC
rnacentral:rRNA from 1 species